AUGCAUGUGGUCCUGUAAAUUUGGGAAGAAAAGAACAAAGGCUAUGCAUAGAUUCGACAGUAGAAAAGAUACGUCGAGCGCAGCUAGUCUCAUUUUCAUACGUUAAUAGCCAAAAUCACCGGCUUUACGGGACGAGAACAGACUCUGUUGU